CAAAUUUUACUUAUCCCACAUCCAACCAAAACAUCAAACCUAGUAUGCCUUAACCUUACAAUUACAAACAACAUCAAACCUAGUAUGCCUUAACCUUACAAUUACAAACGAUUUUCUCUUACUCACGCUUGGCGUUUCAAUUUCAACCUUCUUAAAUCUCUCAUAGUAGUAUCACACAUUCUUCUCGUCUUCUUUUCCAUGUAGGUUUCGCCUAUUCUACUCUAAUAAGUCAUCUCUUAUGUUCUUUCUUUUUCAUCUUUUAUGUUACUAUUUUCUCUUUUAAUUAUAUUUUUAUCGCACCUUUCUUCUCAAUCUCGCAUCUCUUAUGUUCUUUUUUUCAUCUUCUCUAAUCUCUCAUCUCAUAUGUUUUUUAUGUUUUAUUAUAAUUUCUUCGAUAUUAU
rnacentral:lncRNA from 1 species